rnacentral:tRNA from 1 species
CAGGGAGACAACACAACGAUUUUGAUGCCUGAGUGUUUUUAAUCUUAGGCCGAAAUCCUGUCACCCUAGGUCGAUCGGUACCUCAGCAUUGAAGUAAUUAAAUCAGCAGUGAUGUUGAUGAGAAUUGUGGAGAUGAUCAGUUCCUAAACUUUGUCUAGGUCACACCCCAUAAGGGUUGAGUUUUCCUGGGCCAUUAGCUCAGGUGGUUAGAGCGCACCCCUGAUAAGGGUGAGGUCCCUGGUUCAAGUCCAGGAUGGCCCAUUCGGUGUUGGGGGUUUAGCUCAGUUGGUAGAGCGCCUGCUUUGCAAGCAGGAUGUCAGGAGUUCGAGUCUCCUAACCUCCACUGACCGAACUUUAUCUCCUGCUUUGCAUCGAUCGAUGGAAAGGUACUCGAUGUGGUGAGUGUGAUUUAGACGUGUCCGCUGGAUUGGAUCCCAGCUUCCUGUCAUUCCAACUGUAAACAAGGUUUCUGCUUUGUUGAAUUGAUUUGGGUUGAUAAGAUGCUGGGCUCAGAUGAAUUAUUGAGCAUCAAUGAUUUGAUUUGACGUCUGGCAGAUCUUGACACUGCAUAGUGAGUCUGGAAAACAAAGCAUCUUACAGAUGCAUUGUUUGAUUUAGCAUCUGAAAAGAUGUUUGAUCAGAGCAUGAAAUUCUUUGAGCAGAGCGAGACUCUGACGUUCUUGGAUCGUGUCAAGCGAAACGGCUUGAUUUAUUUAAGGUUGUGAAACCACGAUUAAAUUUAGAAUCGCUUCACGCGUAAUG